rnacentral:rRNA from 1 species
CAGUGAGGAAUCUUCCACAAUGGGCGAAAGCCUGAUGGAGCAACGCCGCGUGCAGGAUGAAGGCCUUCGGGUUGUAAACUGCUUUUAUUUGUGAAGAAUAUGACGGUAACAAAUGAAUAAGGAUCGGCUAACUACGUGCCAGCAGCCGCGGUCAUACGUAGGAUCCGAGCGUUAUCCGGAGUGACUGGGCGUAAAGAGUUGCGUAGGUGGUUUGUAAAGCGAAUAGUGAAAUCUGGCGGCUCAACCGUACAGGCUAUUAUUCGAACUCACAAACUCGAGAGUGGUAGAGGUUACUGGAAUUUCUUGUGUAGGAGUGAAAUCCGUAGAUAUAAGAAGGAACACCAAUGGCGUAGGCAGGUAACUGGACCAUUUCUGACACUGAGGCACGAAAGCGUGGGGAGCGAACCGGAUUAGA